rnacentral:rRNA from 1 species
UACGUAGGGUGCGAGCGUUGUCCGGAAUUAUUGGGCGUAAAGGGCUCGUAGGCGGUCUGUUGCGUCGGGAGUGAAAACUCAGGGCUUAACCCUGAGCCUGCUUCCGAUACGGGCAGACUAGAGGUAUGCAGGGGAGAACGGAAUUCCUGGUGUAGCGGUGAAAUGCGCAGAUAUCAGGAGGAACACCAGUGGCGAAGGCGGUGCUCUGGGCCGGAACUGACGCUGAGGAGCGAAAGCGUGGGGAGCAAACAGG